CACACACACACACACACACACACACACACACACACACACACACACACACACACACACACACACACACACACACACCUCUACCCCCUCCUCCAUCAACUCUGAGCAGUCACGACCUGCCUGCCUUCCCUCAUCUGAUUCCACAGGCCUAUUAACGCCCCCACCUGUGUGAGCUGCCUCAGUCCAUCUGUGUCCUCUCUCCUUCAGCCAGAGGAACCUGGCUAGGGGCCAGGGGCCAAGGUCGGGUACACUGGGAAAAUUAAUCGGCAGGCAAGAGAUGGAGAGGACGGCGGCACAGCCUCACGGUGGCCUCAAGGCUCCAGGGGUUCCUCCUCCGAGCGGUGGGCCCCGGCCGGGCCCCUAGUCGGAGGAGAGCGGGUGGGGGAACCGCCAGCGCAGGAUGGCCCCGUCUGAGCUGGUGGUCACUAGGGUGCGGCUGCUGCCACACAGCCUGACGCAGGAUCUUCUUGCAGUCCCUGGUGCCGGCGAUGGCGGUCACCCCCAUGCUGUGUGCGUUGUCGAUGACCAGCAGGGUCCGGCCACUCUCGGGGGCGAACACGCGGAUCUUGCCGUCGUUCCAAGCUAUGGGAAAGACGCCGCUGAAUCAUCCCCAUGCUCCUGGUUCCACAAGUACAGUGAUGGGUCCUACCACUGAUGAUGCUCCGUCCGUCCACCAUGAUGUCCAGGGCAUUGCAGGUCAUGUUGGGAACAGUGAUGCGGAGUCGCUCCUUGGAGCGAUCCACGUGCCACACCCUGAUGUCCUCC